rfam:Aedes albopictus isolate Foshan contig116989, whole genome shotgun sequence.
GACUCCGUAGCUUGAGGGAAUAGAAGCGCCCGUCUAGCGAAUUGGGAGUCGUGAGUUCGAGUCUCACCGGAGUAC